rnacentral:lncRNA from 1 species
GUGACAGUACAGUCAUGGAAUCAGGAAUUUCACCAUCUGAAUAUGGGAGCUUGAAGAAAUUUACUGUAGUUUUUGCGCUGUGAGUAUUCUGAGUGUUCUGAUGGCCUCUCAGCAUGAUGAGUAACAAACUGAUCCUGAAAGAUGUUUCCAUUUGUUUUGGAUUAGCUGAACAUUAGCUAAUUUUAUUUGGAAUGGUUCAUUGUGGUUGUGUAUGCCAUACAAUACUCCGUGCCACUGGCUACACAAUGUGUAAAGUAUAUUAGCUUGUGUUUCAUAGCAAAUGGCAGGUAUGUAACAUAUUCCUGAGCUCCUGUCGGUGAGCAAUGGAUAGGAAAGAGCAUAUAUAUAUAUAUUUAAAGAAAAUUGUGUUACAGGUACUCAGGAUGAGUUGUGUGGCCACAUCAUGCUUCACAUAGAAGACAGCUAACGAGAUACAGAAAUCCCCAAAUCUGAACCAUCUCUAAUCUGGCAAAGGAUCCCCGUCCAGCUGACACUGAAUGCCUGCAGAACGUUACAAACAGCAUCUUUAAGAAAGGGUAUUUAAAUUUCCUUCUUCCUGGGUGUCAGCCUCAUCAGAAGAAAAACGAAAUUUUCUUCUUGACAUCUAGUAUCUAGCUGAAGAAAUGAAGAAUAAUGUCAGCAUUGUGCAGCUUUCAACUCUAUUGGCUUCAAAGGGAUAUGUUCUGCUUUCAGGUGAGAAUGGCUCCAGCCUGUGACUUGCUCUGGGACAACAGUUGCCAAAGGCUUCCAGUGGUGAGCUCUUACUCCGUGAUCAUAUUUUUCCAUGACUUGGACCAUUGAGAGAGAGAAUCUUUCAGUGUGAGGUGCUUGCUGACUGUCUGGGGAAGUGGGAGCAGAGCUUGUUUCUAUGCACAGAGCCAGAAAAGCUCCACCAUCGUUAAGAGUGAAGCUGAGAGUCAAAACGUUCAGCCCUACUAAAACUCUGGUGCCUUUUCCUUCGAGGAGGCCUUGUGCCCUGACUCUCUGUGUCAGGAAAUUGAAAUUUGUUGGGGGUUAAUCAUUGGGUCAGAGGUGUGCUGUUUAAUUUCCUCCUGAAAGUUAAAUUAUCUGAUCCCUUUUGGGGAUUUCUUUGAUCAGUGAGGCUUGUGAUGUGCCAACCAGGUAACAAAGCUUUUGUUAGCCCCCGUCCAUCCCUUCUCCCAAACACACCACACAACCCAGGAGGCAAUGAGUGGACGAUCAUCUUUGACUCCUGAGUUUUUCUCUGGAGCAAACCUGUAUAAUUCCCA